UACAGAGGUCUCAAGCGUUGUUCGGAUUCAUUGGGCGUAAAGGGUGCGUAGGCGGCGCGGUAAGUCGGGUGUGAAAUCUCGGAGCUUAACUCCGAAACUGCAUUCGAUACUGCCGUGCUUGAGGACUGGAGAGGAGACUGGAAUUUACGGUGUAGCGGUGAAAUGCGUAGAUAUCGUAAGGAAGACCAGUGGCGAAGGCGGGUCUCUGGACAGUGACUGACGCUGAGGCGCGAAAGCGUGGGGAGCAAACGGG
rnacentral:rRNA from 1 species